UUAAGUGACUAAGCGUACACGGUGGAUGCCUUGGCAGUCAGAGGCGAUGAAAGACGUAGUAACUUGCGAUAAGCCCAGAUUAGGUAGUAACAACCAUUUGAGUCUGGGAUUUCUGAAUGGGGAAACCCACGUGCAUAAGCACGUAUCCUUACCUGAAUACAUAGGGUAAGGAGGCGAACCGGGGGAACUGAAACAUCUAAGUACCCCGAGGAAAAGAAAUCAACCGAGAUUCCGAAAGUAGCGGCGAGCGAAAUUGGACUAGCCCUUAAGCUUUACACGCGUUAGACGAACGGUUUGGAAAGUCCGACGAUACAGGGUGAUAGUCCCGUAGUUGACGACGUGUGUUCAGUGAAAUCGAGUAGGGCGGGACACGUGAUAUCCUGUCUGAAUAUGGGGGGACCAUCCUCCAAGGCUAAAUACUACUGACUGACCGAUAGUGAACCAGUACCGUGAGGGAAAGGCGAAAAGAACCCCUGUGAGGGGAGUGAAAUAGAACCUGAAACCGUGUACGUACAAGCAGUAGGAGCAGGCUUUGUCCUGUGACUGCGUACCUUUUGUAUAAUGGGUCAGCGACUUAUAUUCAGUGGCAAGGUUAACCAUCUAGGGGAGCCGUAGGGAAACCGAGUCUUAACUGGGCGUUCAGUCUCUGGAUAUAGACCCGAAACCAGGUGAUCUAGCCAUGGGCAGGUUGAAGGUUGAGUAACAUCAACUGGAGGACCGAACCGACUAAUGUUGAAAAAUUAGCGGAUGACUUGUGGCUAGGGGUGAAAGGCCAAUCAAACCUGGAGAUAGCUGGUUCUCCCCGAAAGCUAUUUAGGUAGCGCCUCGGACGAAUACUACUGGGGGUAGAGCACUGUUAAGGCUAGGGGGUCAUCCCGACUUACCAACCCUUUGCAAACUCCGAAUACCAGUAAGUACUAUCCGGGAGACACACGGCGGGUGCUAACGUCCGUCGUGGAGAGGGAAACAACCCAGACCGCCAGCUAAGGUCCCAAAUUACUACUAAGUGGGAAACGAUGUGGGAAGGCUCAGACAGCCAGGAUGUUGGCUUAGAAGCAGCCAUCAUUUAAAGAAAGCGUAAUAGCUCACUGGUCGAGUCGGCCUGCGCGGAAGAUGUAACGGGGCUAAGUAGUAAACCGAAGCUGCGGCAAUGUGCUUUUGCACAUUGGGUAGGGGAGCGUUCUGUAAGCGGUUGAAGGUGUGUGGUAACGCAUGCUGGACGUAUCAGAAGUGCGAAUGCUGACAUGAGUAACGAUAAAGGGGGUGAAAAACCUCCUCGCCGGAAGACCAAGGGUUCCUGUCCAACGUUAAUCGGGGCAGGGUAAGUCGACCCCUAAGGCGAGGCCGAAAGGCGUAGUCGAUGGGAAACGGGUUAAUAUUCCCGUACUUCUUACAAUUGCGAUGGGGGGACGGAGAAGGCUAGGUGGGCCUGGCGACGGUUGUCCAGGUUCAAGUGCGUAGGCUUGAGAGUUAGGUAAAUCCGGCUCUCUUUAAGGCUGAGACACGACGUCGAGCCACUACGGUGGUGAAGUCAUUGAUGCCAUGCUUCCAGGAAAAGCCUCUAAGCUUCAGAUUGUAAGGAAUCGUACCCCAAACCGACACAGGUGGUCGGGUAGAGAAUACCAAGGCGCUUGAGAGAACUCGGGUGAAGGAACUAGGCAAAAUGGUACCGUAACUUCGGGAGAAGGUACGCUCUCGACGGUGAAGUCCCUCGCGGAUGGAGCUAUUGAGAGUCGCAGAUACCAGGUGGCUGCAACUGUUUAUUAAAAACACAGCACUGUGCAAAAUCGUAAGAUGACGUAUACGGUGUGACGCCUGCCCGGUGCCGGAAGGUUAAUUGAUGGGGUUAGACUUCGGUCGAAGCUCUUGAUCGAAGCCCCGGUAAACGGCGGCCGUAACUAUAACGGUCCUAAGGUAGCGAAAUUCCUUGUCGGGUAAGUUCCGACCUGCACGAAUGGCGUAAUGAUGGCCACGCUGUCUCCACCCGAGACUCAGUGAAAUUGAAAUCGCUGUGAAGAUGCAGUGUACCCGCGGCUAGACGGAAAGACCCCGUGAACCUUUACUACAGCUUGGCACUGAACAUUGACCCUACAUGUGUAGGAUAGGUGGGAGGCUUUGAAGCACGUACGCCAGUAUGUGUGGAGCCGUCCUUGAAAUACCACCCUUGUAGUGUUGAUGUUCUAACGUCGACCCCUUAUCGGGGUUGCGGACAGUGCCUGGUGGGUAGUUUGACUGGGGCGGUCUCCUCCCAAAGAGUAACGGAGGAGCACGAAGGUGGGCUAAUCACGGUUGGACAUCGUGAGGUUAGUGCAAUGGCAUAAGCCCGCUUGACUGCGAGAAUGACAAUUCGAGCAGGUGCGAAAGCAGGUCAUAGUGAUCCGGUGGUUCUGAAUGGAAGGGCCAUCGCUCAACGGAUAAAAGGUACUCCGGGGAUAACAGGCUGAUACCGCCCAAGAGUUCAUAUCGACGGCGGUGUUUGGCACCUCGAUGUCGGCUCAUCACAUCCUGGGGCUGAAGUCGGUCCCAAGGGUAUGGCUGUUCGCCAUUUAAAGUGGUACGCGAGCUGGGUUUAGAACGUCGUGAGACAGUUCGGUCCCUAUCUGCCGUGGGCGUUGGAAGAUUGAAGGGGGCUGCUCCUAGUACGAGAGGACCGGAGUGGACGAACCUCUGGUGUUCGGGUUGUGUCGCCAGACGCAUUGCCCGGUAGCUAAGUUCGGAAUCGAUAACCGCUGAAAGCAUCUAAGCGGGAAGCGAGCCCUGAGAUGAGUCUUCCCUGAUACUUUAAGUAUCCUAAAGGGUUGUCGGAGACUACGACGUUGAUAGGUCAGGUGUGUAAGUGCUGUGAGGCAUUGAGCUAACUGAUACUAAUUGCCCGUGAGGCUUAACC
rnacentral:rRNA from 1 species